rnacentral:rRNA from 1 species
UACACGACCGUACCGCAAACCGACACUGGUGCGCGAGAUGAGUAUUCUAAGGCGCUUGAGAGAACUCAGGAGAAGGAACUCGGCAAAUUGACACCGUAACUUCGGAAGAAGGUGUGCCUUUAGUAGGUGAACCAUUUACUUGGGGAGCCGAAUGAGGUUGCAAAAAAUCGGUGGCUGCAACUGUUUAUUAAAAACACAGCACUCUGCUAAGACGAAAGUCGACGUAUAGGGUGUGACGCCUGCCCGGUGCUGGAAGAUUAAAUGAUGGGGUGCAAGCUCUUGAUUGAAGUCCCAGUAAACGGCGGCCGUAACGAUAACGGUCCUAAGGUAGCGAAAUUCCUUGUCGGGUAAGUUCCGACCUGCACGAAUGGCGUAAUGAUGGCCACACUGUCUCCUCCUGAGACUCAGCGAAGUUGAAAUGUUUGUGAUGAUGCAAUCUCCCCGCGGAAAGACGGAAAGACCCCAUGAACCUUUACUGUAGCUUUGUAUUGGACUUUGAACAGAUCUGUGUAGGAUAGGUGGGAGGCUUUGAAGCCGGGACGCUAGUCUCGGUGGAGCCAACGUUGAAAUACCACCCUGGUGUGUUUGAGGUUCUAACCUAGGUCCAUUAUCUGGAUCGGGGACAGUGCAUGGUAGGCAGUUUGACUGGGGCGGUCUCCUCCCAAAGUGUAACGGAGGAGUUCGAAGGUACGCUAGUUACGGUCGGACAUCGUGAUAAUAGUGCAAUGGCAUAAGCGUGCUUAACUGCGAGACUGACAAGUCGAGCAGAUGCGAAAGCAGGACAUAGUGAUCCGGUGGUUCUGUAUGGAAGGGCCAUCGCUCAACGGAUAAAAGGUACUCUGGGGAUAACAGGCUGAUACCGCCCAAGAGUUCAUAUCGACGGCGGUGUUUGGCACCUCGAUGUCGGCUCAUCUCAUCCUGGGGCUGUAGCCGGUCCCAAGGGUAUGGCUGUUCGCCAUUUAAAGAGGUACGUGAGCUGGGUUUAAAACGUCGUGAGACAGUUUGGUCCCUAUCUUCCGUGGGCGCUGCAGAUUUGAGGAAGCCUGCUCCUAGUACGAGAGGACCGGAGUGGACGAACCUCUGAUGUACCGGUUGUCACGCCAGUGGCAUUGCCGGGUAGCUAAGUUCGGAAGAGAUAACCGCUGAAAGCAUCUAAGCGGGAAACUCGUUUCAAGAUUAGAUCUGCCGGGGCCUUGAGCCCCCUAAAGAGUCGUUCAAGACCAGGACGUUGAUAGGUCAGGUGUGGAAGCG